UGUCUUCAAUAAGAACUCAAUGGCCAGGAAAUGAGAUCUGUGCCAAAGUGUUACUUAAAAUUCCCGGGUGGGAUGACUUGUUCCUGAAACCAUAGAGUGAGUUGAGAAAAUCAGGCAGAGCCUGAUAAUCCACCCACCAAAAUGAAAAUCACAAUAUUAUGCUGACCAGAAGAUUUUUUAGGAGCACUGAAGAAUGUAUCUCCGUGGGAAAGGCACAAGGUUCUGAAGUCUCUGUUCUUCCGAUUUUUGCUCCAGGGUUGAGGAAGGAACCCAGGGCCUCAAACAUGCUAGGACAAAUCAAAUUUGGAUGGUUUGAGUGGCUUUCCUAAGGUUCCCAAUGAAUAAGUAACAAGGUAGGAUAAGAGCCCAAAUCCAUCACAGGAAGAGCCUCGGUCACCUGCAAUCCAUCACACCCAAUAGGAAAGGUGUCUGGCAAUGAAAGCUGUUCUCCACACACAGGCCAAACUGCAGAAGCUUAUGAAGUGGUAUACAGGCAGUUAUUAGAGAUUCUGAACAAGGCUGACUGAUCACCUGCCAAUGCCAUCAUGGUUUCCUCUGGUCCCACACUGCGCUCCAGGCAGCAGCUCUGUUCUGAAGACUUGGGCAAACUGGCUUGGAGAAUGCUUCCUUCAGAAUCAGCCAAAUACACUUUAUGCUAAAUGAACUUCCCAUGAAACUGCACAAAGACAUUUUAAUGGAAUUCUGCAUGCACAGAACUCAAUGUAAUGAGAUGUAAAAUUCACAAUAUAGUAUGUUUAGAUAACAGUG